rnacentral:rRNA from 1 species
AUGAACGCUGGCGGCGUGCCUAAUACAUGCAAGUCGAGCGAACAGACGAGGAGCUUGCUCCUCUGACGUUAGCGGCGGACGGGUGAGUAACACGUUGAUAACCUACCUAUAAGACUGGGAUAACUUCGGGAAACCGGAGCUAAUACCGGAUAAUAUAUUGAACCGCAUGGUUCAAUAGUGAAAGACGGUUUUGCUGUCACUUAUAGAUGGAUCCGCGCCGCAUUAGCUAGUUGGUAAGGUAACGGCUUACCAAGGCAACGAUGCGUAGCCGACCUGAGAGGGUGAUCGGCCACACUGGAACUGAGACACGGUCCAGACUCCUACGGGAGGCAGCAGUAGGGAAUCUUCCGCAAAGGGCGAAAGCCUGACGGAGCAACGCCGCGUGAGUGAUGAAGGUCUUCGGAUCGUAAAACUCUGUUAUUAGGGAAGAACAAAUGUGUAAGUAACUAUGCACGUCUUGACGGUACCUAAUCAGAAAGCCACGGCUAACUACGUG